UUGUUACUGGGCACAAGUACUCAAGUGCAAGGUUUCCCUCUAAAUCUGAGCUUUUGGAAUCUAUUUCCCCAAAUUAGGCAUUUGGUAUUUGGGGAGAAUUGUUUGAUUUUUGUUCCUAUGGAUCUUGAUAAUUUAUCUUGCAGCGACAAUCUCAGAUGAGUUUUAGCUUGUGAUCAUGAUGAGGUUUCACCUAUCCUUUUUGUUGCAGAUGAAGCAAGAACUUAUAAAACUGGAUAUAUUUGAGACUUUGGACAUCUUCACUCUGGAAACUUGAUUUGCUAGCUAAGGCCAUUUGUUCUUUUAUUAGGAAUAUUCGCCAACCGUGCUAAGUAUUUCAGAAUUCAGAUAUGGUUCUCUAGCUCCAGUAGCCAGGUUAAUUGAUAGAUCGAGUUGCACUUGCACAUAUCUUGUUUUAGGAAAUGCUCCAAUGGCCCUUGAAUCCAGCAAAGUAAAUACUUUUUUAUGCUUGAUCUGUGACUGAUCUGAAACAGAUAAAUUGAAAUGAGUAUCCUGUAAACGGAUAAAAAAGUGACAUGGAACCUGAUUAGUUUUAUGAGUCAAAUAUUCUUCCAUUUUUUCCUGUCAUUUGGUUGUGUCAUGUCAUUAUUUGAGUUUUAUUGGGUACAUUGUGUCCUGACUGGUCCUGAGCUGGAUGUAGUGCUUAAUGGGUGCAAAAAUUAAGCUUAAGUUGUACUCAAUUUCCAGUCAUGUGUUAGAAACAGUUGUUUUAUGAUUACUUUAAUGAAAUAAUCCAUGAUCACAAAAU
rnacentral:sRNA from 1 species